UUUCCUCCCAGAUUCAAAAUCAAAGAUAUGGUAGAAAGGGUCCAAUAGUGUGGCCUGAUCUUCUUCUUUGAUCUGUCAACAGUAACAGCCUUUGCUGGUUGAAUUACCUUUCUCUCAUUAAUUAUAUAUUCCUAUAGUUGGUAGGUUUUGAUUUUCCUUCAUUAUUGUACAAUCCUAUAGUUGGUAGGUUUUGAUUUCCCUGUACUCUAUAUAUACCUUUGUAAGCAAUAUAUUUUAGUGAGAAACCUCAACCAGCAAGGGCUGUCUCAUAGUCCUCAAAACACUUGUAUGUCUAUAGAACCAAAACAUAGAUUCACCAAAAGAAUGUAUUAGAAUUUGAGAAGGAAGAAAGCUCAAACAGCAAGAUAUAAGCAGACAUGAAAUGUGCUGGUGAAGAAAAUAGAUGCUUUCUUUGAAAGUCUACUAGUCCUUUCAUGACUAUGCAUAAAAUGUUCAAGGUUAAAAGGCAGAAGGAUAAUUCAAGCACAUAAGAAGCGUCAUAAAGAGGAUUUUCUGUUUAGUUUGCUUUUUGCGGGCAACAAUCGAUCGUGCAUUAAAUCAAAGUGAACCUGGAAAGUCUUUCCUUACAUGCUUCCACGAACUUCC
rnacentral:lncRNA from 1 species